GAUGAAGAACGUAGCGAAAUGCGAUAAGUAAUGUGAAUUGCAGAAUUCAGUGAAUCAUCGAAUCUUUGAACGCACCUUGCGCCCUUUGGCCAUUCCGAAGGGCAUGCCUGUUUGAGUAUCAUGAACACCUCAACUCUUUAUGGUUUUCCAUGAUGAGCUUGGACUCUGGGGGUUUUGCUGGCUCACAGUCGGCUCCUCUAAAAUGAAUCAGCUUACCAGUGUUUGGUGGGUAUCAUGGGCGUGAUAACUAUCUACGCUUGUGGUUUUUCCACCAGGUAACCUUCAGCAGUGGAGGUUCGCUGGAGCUCAUAGAUGUCUCUCCUCAGUGAGGACAGCCCUUUGAAUGUUUGAUCUCAAAUCAGGUAGGACUACCCGCUGAACUUAAGCAUAUCAAUAAGCGGAGGA
rnacentral:misc_RNA from 1 species